rnacentral:rRNA from 1 species
UUGAAGAGUUUGAUCAUGGCUCAGAUUGAACGCUGGCGGCAGGCCUAACACAUGCAAGUCGAACGGUAACAGGAUGUGCUUGCACAUCGCUGACGAGUGGCGGACGGGUGAGUAAUGCUUGGGAACUUGCCUUUGCGAGGGGGAUAACAGUUGGAAACGACUGCUAAUACCGCAUAAUGUCUUCGGACCAAACGGGGCUUCGGCUCCGGCGCAAAGAGAGGCCCAAGUGAGAUUAGCUAGUUGGUAAGGUAACGGCUUACCAAGGCGACGAUCUCUAGCUGUUCUGAGAGGAAGAUCAGCCACACUGGGACUGAGACACGGCCCAGACUCCUACGGGAGGCAGCAGUGGGGAAUAUUGCACAAUGGGGGAAACCCUGAUGCAGCCAUGCCGCGUGUGUGAAGAAGGCCUUCGGGUUGUAAAGCACUUUCAGUUGUGAGGAAAAGUUAGUAGUUAAUACCUGCUAGCCGUGACGUUAACAACAGAAGAAGCACCGGCUAACUCCGUGCCAGCAGCCGCGGUAAUACGGAGGGUGCGAGCGUUAAUCGGAAUUACUGGGCGUAAAGCGCGCGUAGGCGGUUUGCUAAGUCAGAUGUGAAAUCCCCGGGCUCAACCUGGGAAUGGCAUUUGAGACUGGUAGGCUAGAAUGUGGUAGAGGUGAGUGGAAUUCCAGGUGUAGCGGUGAAAUGCGUAGAGAUCUGGAGGAACAUCAGUGGCGAAGGCGACUCACU